CCUACGGGAGGCAGCAGUGAGGAAUAUUGGUCAAUGGGCUUACGCCUGAACCAGCCAAGUCGCGUGAGGGAAGACUGCCCUAUGGGUUGUAAACCUCUUUUAUAGGGGAAUAAAGGUAUCCACGUGUGGAUAUUUGCAUGUACCCUAUGAAUAAGCAUCGGCUAACUCCGUGCCAGCAGCCGCGGUAAUACGGAGGAUGCGAGCGUUAUCCGGAUUUAUUGGGUUUAAAGGGUGCGUAGGUUGUUUUUUAAGUCAGCGGUGAAAGUUUGUGGCUCAACCAUAAAAUUGCCGUUGAAACUGGAAGACGUGAGUGUGUUUGAGGUAGGCGGAAUGCGUGGUGUAGCGGUGAAAUGCAUAGAUAUCACGCAGAACUCCGAUUGCGAAGGCAGCUUACUAAGCCAUAACUGACACUGAAGCACGAAAGCGUGGGGAUCAAACAGGAUUAGAUACCCGUGUAGUC
rnacentral:rRNA from 1 species